AUCUGAAGAGAGUAAUUAGAAGGUGAACCUAUUAUGAACUCAAAGGAAGAAUGAAAGAACGCAGGACAAAGGGAAGGGCGAGAAGGAAGUGAUCUGCCAGCCAUCGUCUCGGAGAGAAAGGAGUGACUGCAUUCAUCUUUCAACAGUUUUAGAGAAGAGGGAAGAAAUGCUCAGCAUGUUUGUCAUUUGUAUUGAAAGACCC